CUUUCUUCUCUGGGGAAUGAGCUCCUUCUCUCCAAAGUUGAUCUUAACCACUAACAUCGCCCUGUCAGGACCUGAACAAUGACAGCUUUCCUAUGUUCAUUCCAAAAUCGUAAGUCUAAAAAUUCACAAGUGCAAGGCAGUGUAUCUGUGGAUAUACACAUAUUGUGGAAAAUUCUCAGGUUCUUCUUCUGCUCAUUCCCAUGCCUCCAAGGUAGAGAAG
rnacentral:lncRNA from 1 species